UACGUAGGGGGCAAGCGUUGUCCGGAAUCAUUGGGCGUAAAGCGCGUGUAGGCGGUCCGGUAAGUCCGCUGUGAAAGUCCAGGGCUCAACCCUGGGAUGCCGGUGGAUACUGUCGGGCUAGAGUGCGGAAGAGGCGAGUGGAAUUCCUGGUGUAGCGGUGAAAUGCGCAGAUAUCAGGAGGAACACCAAUUGCGAAGGCAGCUCGCUGGGACGUAACUGACGCUGAGACGCGAAAGCGUGGGGAGCAAACAGG
rnacentral:rRNA from 1 species